rnacentral:rRNA from 1 species
GACGAACGCUGGCGGCGUGCUUAACACAUGCAAGUCGAACGGAAAGGCCCUGCUUUUGUGGGGUGCUCGAGUGGCGAACGGGUGAGUAACACGUGAGUAACCUGCCCUUGACUUUGGGAUAACUUCAGGAAACUGGGGCUAAUACCGGAUAGGGGCUCCUGCUGCAUGGUGGGGGUUGGAAAGUUUCGGCGGUUGGGGAUGGACUCGCGGCUUAUCAGCUUGUUGGUGGGGUAGUGGCUUACCAAGGCUUUGACGGGUAGCCGGCCUGAGAGGGUGACCGGCCACAUUGGGACUGAGAUACGGCCCAGACUCCUACGGGAGGCAGCAGUGGGGAAUAUUGCACUAUGGGCGGAAGCCUGAUGCAGCAACGCCGCGUGCGGGAUGACGGCCUUCGGGUUGUAAACCGCUUUCGCCUGUGACGAAGCGUGAGUGACGGUAAUGGGUAAAGAAGCACCGGCUAACUACGUGCCAGCAGCCGCGGUGAUACGUAGGGUGCGAGCGUUGUCCGGAUUUAUUGGGCGUAAAGGGCUCGUAGGUGGUUGAUCGCGUCGGAAGUGUAAUCUUGGGGCUUAACCCUGAGCGUGCUUUCGAUACGGGUUGACUUGAGGAAGGUAGGGGAGAAUGGAAUUCCUGGUGGAGCGGUGGAAUGCGCAGAUAUCAGGAGGAACACCAGUGGCGAAGGCGGUUCUCUGGGCCUUUCCUGACGCUGAGGAGCGAAAGCGUGGGGAGCGAACAGGCUUAGAUACCCUGGUAGUCCACGCUGUAAACGGUGGGUACUAGGUGUGGGGUCCAUUCCACGGGUUCCGUGCCGUAGCUAACGCUUUGAGUACCCCGCCUGGGGAGUACGGCCGCAAGGCUAAAACUCAAAGGAAUUGACGGGGCCCCGCACAAGCGGCGGAGCAUGCGGAUUAAUUCGAUGCAACGCGUAGAACCUUACCUGGGUUUGACAUGGAUCGGGAGCGCUCAGAGAUGGGUGUGCCUCUUUUGGGGUCGGUUCACAGGUGGUGCAUGGCUGUCGUCAGCUCGUGUCGUGAGAUGUUGGGUUAAGUCCCGCAACGAGCGCAACCCUUGUUCACUGUUGCCAGCACGUUAUGGUGGGGACUCAGUGGAGACCGCCGGGGUCAACUCGGAGGAAGGUGGGGAUGACGUCAAGUCAUCAUGCCCCUUAUGUCCAGGGCUUCACGCAUACUACAAUGGCUGGUACAGAGAGUGGCGAGCCUGUGAGGGUGAGCGAAUCUCGGAAAGCCGGCCUCAGUUCGGAUUGGGGUCUGCAACUCGACCUCAUGAAGUCGGAGUCGCUAGUAAUCGCAGAUCAGCAACGCUGCGGUGAAUACGUUCCCGGGGCU